GAGAGGAACUUGUUCCUCGAGUCGUUGAUUUCACACUGCCGAGAAAAGCCUCUAGCUAGAAUAACGGUGCCCGUACCGCAAACCGACACAGGUAGUCAAGAUGAGAAUUCUAAGGUGAGCGAGCGAACUCUCGUUAAGGAACUCGGCAAAAUGACCCCGUAACUUCGGGAGAAGGGGUGCUCUUUGAGGUUCACGCUUCGAAGAGCCGCAGUGAAUAGGCCCAAGCGACUGUUUAUCAAAAACACAGGUCUCUGCUAAACCGUAAGGUGACGUAUAGGGGCUGACGCCUGCCCGGUGCUGGAAGGUUAAGAGGAGUGGUUAGCGCAAGCGAAGCUACGAAUCGAAGCCCCAGUAAACGGCGGCCGUAACUAUAACGGUCCUAAGGUAGCGAAAUUCCUUGUCGGGUAAGUUCCGACCCGCACGAAAGGCGUAACGAUUUGGGCACUGUCUCAACGAGAGACUCGGUGAAAUCAUAGUACCGGUGAAGAUGCCGGUUACCCGCGACAGGACGGAAAGACCCCGUGGAGCUUUACUGUAGCCUGAUAUUGAAAUUCGGUACAGUUUGUACAGGAUAGGUAGGAGCCUUAGAAGCGUGAGCGCUAGCUUACGUGGAGGCAUUGGUGGGAUACUACCCUAAUUGUAUUGGAUUUCUAACCCGCAGCACUUAUCGUGCUGGGAGACAGUGUCAGGCGGGCAGUUUGACUGGGGCGGUCGCCUCCUAAAGAGUAACGGAGGCGCUCAAAGGUUCCCUCAGAAUGGUUGGAAAUCAUUCAUAGAGUGUAAAGGCAUAAGGGAGCUUGACUGCGAGACCUACAAGUCGAGCAGGGUCGAAAGACGGACUUAGUGAUCCGGUGGUUCCGCAUGGAAGGGCCAUCGCUCAACGGAUAAAAGCUACCCCGGGGAUAACAGGCUUAUCUCCCCCAAGAGUUCACAUCGACGGGGAGGUUUGGCACCUCGAUGUCGGCUCAUCGCAUCCUGGGGCUGUAGUCGGUCCCAAGGGUUGGGCUGUUCGCCCAUUAAAGCGGUACGCGAGCUGGGUUCAGAACGUCGUGAGACAGUUCGGUCCCUAUCCGUCGUGGGCGUAGGAAAUUUGAGAGGAGCUGUCCUUAGUACGAGAGGACCGGGAUGGACAUACCUCUGGUGUACCAGUUGUCGUGCCAACGGCAUAGCUGGGUAGCUAUGUAUGGACGGGAUAAGUGCUGAAAGCAUCUAAGCAUGAAGCCCCCCUCGAGAUGAGAUUUCCCAACUUCGGUUAUAAGAUCCCUCAAAGAUGAUGAGGUGAAUAGGUUCGAGGUGGAAGCGUAGCGAUACGUGGAGCUGACGAAUACUAAUCGAUCGAAGACUUAAUCAAUAU
rnacentral:rRNA from 1 species